UGGGGAAUUUUGCACAAUGGGGGGAACCUUGAUGCAGCGACGCCGCGUGAGGGAUGGAGGCCUUCGGGUUGUGAACCUCUUUCGCUCGUGUGCAAGCCGCUAUUUGGGUAGUGGUGAGUGUAGCGGGUAAAGAAGCGCCGGCUAACUACGUGCCAGCAGCCGCGGUAAUACGUAGGGCGCGAGCGUUGUCCGGAUUUAUUGGGCGUAAAGGGCUUGUAGGCGGUUUGUCGCGCCUGUCGUGUAAUCCUCUGGCUUAACUGGGGGUGUGCGGUGGGUACGGGCAGGCUUGAGUGCGGUAGGGGAGAUUGGAAUUCCUGGUGUAGCGGUGGAAUGCGCAGAUAUCAGGAGGAACACCGGUGGCGAAGGCGGGUCUCUGGGCCGUUACUGACACUGAGGAGCGAAAGCGUGGGGAGCGAACAGG
rnacentral:rRNA from 1 species